UAGGAUUGUUGGAAUUACAUUAAACACAAGAUUUAAAAGAAAAAGAGAAAUGGCUGCUUUAAAUGACACCAUGGCUGCAGUUAACAGAAUUGGGUAGGCAUGGACUUCAAUGGAAAGCUGUACCUCUGAAGGAAAUAUCCUUCUUUCUUCAGGCCAUUGCCAUGACAUUUCAGAUCAACUUCAUUUACUUAUCACAAAAGGAUCUCAGUGGGAUUUUCUGUUUCCCUCUUACUGCCUCCACUAAAGGAGAACGUCUGUGCAAUUCUGUGAGUUUGUCUCCCAACCCUCAAGACUGUUAUGAGUCAACUAAGAGGUCUUAUUCUGUUCACAGUACUGGGAUAUUUAAGCAACUUCAGUUCGUGUUUUAAACAAUUAGAAAAUUCACAGCUCAUCCAGACUGAAGUUUCUGAAUUCUGUAAUAAAGGCACAUAUCUCAGUGCAAGUCACCACUCCAACUUCCUGAAAGCACAAAGAGACCUUCCCUCCUCCAGCAAAUAUUGCCAUACUUCUGUGCCCUCUCUCAUCUUUGGAGUAAUACAUGAGCUUUUUUACAGUAGGUUUGGUUUUCAAAGCUAGGUUUAAAAAUAAACCAGAAGAGAGAACAGAUGGGCUCCAACUCCAGCCUAGAGGAGCUUUCCCUGCAAAGGACUUGGUAUAUAUCAGGAUCCCAGUGAUAACAGGUUUACAACGGGCAAAUCACCAGAAGUCUUUCUUUCCCCCCAUGUAUUGUCUACCCUAGCUAGCUGAGGGGCUACCAUGAUGCAGGAGAGCAGGACUAUAGUUAUGAAGUCCUUCAUCUGACAAGUGAGUUCCCCCUUAUUUCAGUUGCUUGUUCCUAAUCUUUUCUCAAACAUAUCCUUCCCAUAUGCAGCAGCUGCUUCCAUGUGCCCCUGUAAAUACGGGAACAAGAAUUUCAUGCUGCUGGAAAACACCUUCUAGUUUACUUGCAGUUCUUACCUAGGGUUCUCAUUAACAUUCCUUACUGUUAAGACAGGAAAGUUGUGAAA